rnacentral:rRNA from 1 species
AGCAUAUCAUAGCGGAGGAAAAGAAUACCAACAGGGAUUGCCCCAGUAACGGCAAGUGAAGCGGCAACAGCUCAAAUUUGAAAUCUGGCCUCGGCCCGAGUUGUAAUUUGCAGAGGAUGCUUCUGGCGCGGCGCCUUCCGAGUUCCCUGGAACGGGACGCCACAGAGGGUGAGAGCCCCGUAUGGUCGGACGCCAAGCCAGUGUGAAGCUCCUUCGAAGAGUCGAGUAGUUUGGGAAUGCUGCUCUAAGCGGGAGGUAUACGUCUUCUAAAGCUAAAUACCGGCCAGAGACCGAUAGCGCACAAGUAGAGUGAUCGAAAGAUGAAAAGCACCUUGAAAAGGGGGUUAAACAGUACGUGAAAUUGUUGAAAGGGAAGCGCCUGUGACCAGACUUGCGCCGGGCGGAUCAUCCAGCGUUCUCGCUGGUGCGCUCCGCCCGGCUCAGGCCAGCAUCGGUUCUGGCGGGGGGAUAAAGGCGGCGGGAACGUGGCUCCCCCGGGAGUGUUAUAGCCCGCCGUGCAAUGCCCCCGCCGGGACCGAGGUUCGCGCAUCUGCAAGGAUGCUGGCGUAAUGGUCACCAGCGACCCGUCUUGAAACACGGACCAAGGAGUCGUCCAUUACGGCGAGCGUUUGGGUGUAAAACCCCUGCGCGGAAUGAAAGUAAACGUAGGUGAGAGCUUCGGCGCAUCAUCGACCCGAUCCUGAUGUACUCGGAUGGAUUUGAGUAAGAGUCGUACCCGGACGGACCCCGAAAGAUGGUGAACUAUGCCUGUAUAGGGUGAAGCCAGAGGAAACUCUGGUGGAGGCUCGCAGCGGUUUCUGACGUGCAAAUCGAUCGUCAAAUAAUGGGCAUGGGGGGCGAAAGACUAAUCGAAACCAUCUAGUAGCUGGUUACCGUUG